GACGAACGCUGGCGGCGUGCCUAAUACAUGCAAGUAGAACGCACAGUUUAUACCGUAGCCUGCUACACCAUAGACUGUGAGUUGCGAACGGGUGAGUAACGCGUAGGUAACCUGCCUGGUAGCGGGGGGUAACUAUUGGAAACGAUAGCUAAUACCGCAUAAUAUUGAUUAUUGCAUGAUAAUUGAUUGAAAGAUGCUAUUGCAUCACUACCAGAUGGACCUGCGUUGUAUUAGCUAGUAGGUGAGGUAACGGCUCACCUAGGCGACGAUACAUAGCCGACCUGAGAGGGUGAUCGGCCACACUGGGACUGAGACACGGCCCAGACUCCUACGGGAGGCAGCAGUAGGGAAUCUUCGGCAAUGGACGAAAGUCUGACCGAGCAACGCCGCGUGAGUGAAGAAGGUUUUCGGAUCGUAAAGCUCUGUUGUAAGAGAAGAACGGGUGUGAGAGUGGAAAGUUCACACUGUGACGGUAUCUUACCAGAAAGGGACGGCUAACUACGUG
rnacentral:rRNA from 1 species